ACUCGAGUAUAUACAGUAAUAUUGCAUAAAAUUGACAGUUAUUUUGUUUUUAUUUAAAGUCAAACAUUUUGUCUGUGGAAUCUAGGUUUUCUAUACAAGCUGAACAUUGCUAAGUGUUUUGAGAUUGAGAUGCCUCUCUAAAUUGGGAUCAGACCAGCAUCAUCUUGUGAUAUUCCCAGAGCACUGUAUUAUUAUUCAUAUUUUUUUUAUAAAACAGCCUUUCAGUUGUGACCUGUAAUCUGAAUUACAUACUUUAUCCCCUUUGCCAAUCAAAGUGUAAUUUGCAUUUACUUAAAACCAAAGACUUUUAAAAACUCCUUUUAAAAAAAAUAAUAUUUUGAUUUUUAAAAAAUAUCCUGUUAAAUUGAUCUGUCUCCCCAAAGGGUGAGAGACAAGAAGAGACUGAUUCUCCUAGUCACCUAACCCAAUAUUAUAGGGCUAGGAGGUAAUAUUACAGAACAUAUUUAGUCAAUGUAAUUUUUAAAUUUUAAUCUGCCAGAAAAGCAAUAAAGGUUGUUGGAGCUCUAUCUCUCAUUCAUGCUGGCAUUAGGGGGAAAAUUUAAGAUGAAUGCAUCACCAGAAGAUUAGUGUGGGCAGCAGUAAUUGUCAAGUUUCACUCCACAAGGCAGGAGGCAGAGUUAUGAUUGUAGACAGAGAGGACUUUUAGGAGAGGAACUCCAUUCUUCAGACCCAGUCUUGAUGCAACAAUGAUUGAUUCUGAAGUUGGCAGUUUUAAGACAGGCUGAGAUUUGAUUGAUUGUGCCAUUAUGCUUACAUAGUUAUUAACUAACUAUUAAAUUAGCUUUUAAUUGUUAAUUGUUAUUGCAUUUUAUCUUUUUAUUAUAUUGUGAGCUACUCAGUCAUUUGGAGUUGGGCAGUGUGGCAACCAGUGGUGGGUUCCGGAUCCCGUUCCAACCGUACCAGUUGCGUGCACAUGGACCACAUGGGCCCGGCGGCAUGCACAUGGACGCACGCAGCGUCCGCAUGCGUCUUAGCGUCUCCCCAAGGCUUUGCGACGCUCCAACUGCUCAGCAGAGUGUUGCACAGGCACUGUACGCGCCAUGCGUGGAAGCGCAGAAGAUUGACUGAGAAAAAUGGAAAGUCAUAUUCAUUCUUCCAGCUGUGGGGUGAAGUUUACAGUGAACAGCCUGCCAUUUUGCCUUGCAACUUCGUAGAAGAUAGAAGAAAAGCAAUAGUUUGUGAUGAGGAGCUAAUUUUCAUUCCCUGAAGUGUCGUAAUGUAUUAAAGUGAAUGUGACCAUCUUUUAAGAGAAGAUAAAUGAUCAUGUCUUAGCUUAAAAAGGGAUUUGUUGUACAGUUUCAGAAAAUAUGGCUUGGUCCCUGUUAUGCUAGAUAGAGGUAUGGUUGCUUUUCUCUACAAUCCUGCAAUAAAUGAUAUUUAACAACAGAACUGAUUUAGUGAUAACCUCUUUGAAAUACCCAAUGGUCCCUUCUUGGUAUACUUCUAUCAUAGCAUAUUCAAAAUAGACACCAUGGAAGGUGAAUCAUUUUAAGAUAACCAUGAGCCAGUGUCUAUCUGAAAUGGAUAAAUUUGUGAAACACCAACCAUCCAUAUCCUUCAUUUACAUGAGAAAUGCUACUUUCUUUGAAUCAGUUAUAAUAGCAAAAAUGUGGCUGGGCCUGGUACUAUGGAACCAGUCACAAAUUGCAUGUAUGCAAGUUCUAAGUUAAGUUAAAGGGGAAGAAGAAAGCCAACAUAUUUCUAUACUAUAAUCUUGAGCACAUGCCUGAGAAAUGGUCCUGAAUCUUGUUUGGAAAGGAUAAAUAUGAAAAGAGACUGUCUAAGAUCAAGAAACAGAAGAAAUUAAGCUGUAUGUUAGAAUAAACUCUGAAAACUACCAAGAAAUGAAGAGGAGCCAAGC